ensembl:snRNA U6 U6 spliceosomal RNA
GUGCUCGUUUCGGCAGCACAUAUACUAAAGCUGGAACAAUACAGAGAAGAUUAGCAUGGCCCCUGCACAAGGAUGACAGGCAAAUUCGUGAUAUUGUCUGCCAUAGA